UACAGAGGUCUCAAGCGUUGUUCGGAUUCAUUGGGCGUAAAGGGCGCGUAGGCGGCGGGGUAAGUCGGGUGUGAAAUCUCAGGGCUCAACCCUGAAACUGCACUCGAUACUGCUCUGCUUGAGGACUGGAGAGGAGACUGGAAUUCACGGUGUAGCAGUGAAAUGCGUAGAUAUCGUGAGGAAGGCCAGUGGCGAAGGCGGGUCUCUGGACAGUUCCUGACGCUGAGGCGCGAAGGCCAGGGGAGCAAACGGG
rnacentral:rRNA from 1 species